UACGAAGGGGGCUAGCGUUGCUCGGAAUCACUGGGGGUAAAGGGCGCGUAGGCGGACUUUUAAGUCGGAGGGGAAAGCCCAGGGCUCAACCCUGGAAUUGCCUUCGAUACUGGGAGUCUUGAGUUCGGAAGAGGUUGGUGGAACUGCGAGUGUAGAGGUGAAAUUCGUAGAUAUUCGCAAGAACACCGGUGGCGAAGGCGGCCAACUGGUCCGAAACUGACGCUGAGGCGCGAAAGCGUGGGGAGCAAACAGG
rnacentral:rRNA from 1 species